UGAACGCUGGCGGCGUGCCUACUACAUGCAAGUCGAGCGAACAGACGAGGAGCUUGCUCCUCUGACGUUAGCGGCGGACGGGUGAGUAACACGUGGAUAACCUACCUAUAAGACUGGGAUAACUUCGGGAAACCGGAGCUAAUACCGGAUAAUAUAUUGAACCGCAUGGUUCAAUAGUGAAAGACGGUUUUGCUGUCACUUAUAGAUGGAUCCGCGCCGCAUUAGCUAGUUGGUAAGGUAACGGCUUACCAAGGCAACGAUGCGUAGCCGACCUGAGAGGGUGAUCGGCCACACUGGAACUGAGACACGGUCCAGACUCCUACGGGAGGCAGCAGUAGGGAAUCUUCCGCAAUGGGCGAAAGCCUGACGGAGCAACGCCGCGUGAGUGAUGAAGGUCUUCGGAUCGUAAAACUCUGUUAUUAGGGAAGAACAAAUGUGUAAGUAACUAUGCACGUCUUGACGGUACCUAAUCAGAAAGCCACGGCUAACUACGU
rnacentral:rRNA from 1 species